rnacentral:rRNA from 1 species
GACGAACGCUGGCGGCGUGCUUAACACAUGCCAGUCGAACGCUGAAGCUUGGUGCUUGCACUGUGUGGAUGAGUGGCGAACGGGUGAGUAAUACGUGAGUAACCUGCCCUUGACUCUGGGAUAAGCCUGGGAAACUGGGUCCAAUACUGGAUACGACAUGUCACCGCAUGGUGGUGUGUGGAAAGGGUUUUACUGGUUUUGGAUGGACUCACGGCCUAUCAGCUUGUUGGUGGGGUAAUGGCUCACCAAGGCGACGACGGGUAGCCGGCCUGAGAGGGUGACCGGCCACACUGGGACUGAGACAAGGCACAGACUCCUACGGGAGGCAGCAGUGGGGAAUAUUGCACAAUGGGCGGAAGCGUGAUGCAGCGACGCCGCGUGAGGGAUGACGGCCUUCGGGUUGUAAACCUCUUUCAGCACGGAAGAAGCGAAAGUGACGGUACGUGCAGAAGAAGCGCCGGCUAACUACGUG